rnacentral:rRNA from 1 species
GUGCUUAACACAUGCAAGUCGAACGAUGAAGCCUUUCGGGGUGGAUUAGUGGCGAACGGGUGAGUAACACGUGGGCAAUCUGCCCUUCACUCUGGGACAAGCCCUGGAAACGGGGUCUAAUACCGGAUAUGACACACGACCGCAUGGUCUGUGUGUGGAAAGCUCCGGCGGUGAAGGAUGAGCCCGCGGCCUAUCAGCUUGUUGGUGGGGUGAUGGCCUACCAAGGCGACGACGGGUAGCCGGCCUGAGAGGGCGACCGGCCACACUGGGACUGAGACACGGCCCAGACUCCUACGGGAGGCAGCAGUGGGGAAUAUUGCACAAUGGGCGAAAGCCUGAUGCAGCGACGCCGCGUGAGGGAUGACGGCCUUCGGGUUGUAAACCUCUUUCAGCAGGGAAGAAGCGAGAGUGACGGUACCUGCAGAAGAAGCGCCGGCUAACUACGUGCCAGCAGCCGCGGUAAUACGUAGGGCGCAAGCGUUGUCCGGAAUUAUUGGGCGUAAAGAGCUCGUAGGCGGCUUGUCACGUCGGAUGUGAAAGCCCGGGGCUUAACCCCGGGUCUGCAUUCGAUACGGGCAGGCUAGAGUUCGGUAGGGGAGAUCGGAAUUCCUGGUGUAGCGGUGAAAUG